rnacentral:rRNA from 1 species
UACAGAGGUCUCGAGCGUUGUUCGGAUUUACUGGGCGUAAAGGGUGCGUAGGCGGUGGCGUCAGUCGGUUGUGAAAUUUCGGGGCUCAACCUCGAAACUGCACCCGAUACUGCGUCGCUUGAGGACUGUAGAGGAAUGUGGAAUUCACGGUGUAGCAGUGAAAUGCGUAGAUAUCGUGAGGAAGACCAGUGGCGAAGGCGACACUCUGGGCAGUUCCUGACGCUGAGGCACGAAGGCCAGGGGAGCAAACGGG